AGAAGCAGCAAACCGAGCAUCAGGUGCCUGCUGGGCAGUGGGAUUGGAGGACUCAUUAACAUACGAUGUUGCUUCGGAACGUGUAAGGACCGCCAGCAGUAGUAACCAGUUCCAUAAACGAAAAGCCAUAAACAUUGCAGGACCCAUGCCUGUGCGACUCUGACUUCGCACCUGGGUCCUGAUGUAUGCCACGCCUCUGCGGCACAGGUGAGUUUCCAGCUGCACUAUCUGACCGAGAGGCAAUCUAUUUGCAAUCCAGAAGUCAUUUCCAAAGAGGUCCGGUGCGAUGACUCUGCAGGAAAUGGGUUGAAAGUGGAAGAUAGAUGUAACCCACAUCCACCAUGAAAAUCCAGAUGCCUGGAUGGACUUCCAAAGUUGUCUUGCAUAGCAGGACUGUUCAAAUGGCAGGCUUUGCAUCUGAAUGGUUUCUGGAACUAAACCAUCCUACCAGGCAAGAACCUAGAAUGAGGCACUUCAGCAAGUUGACACUUCAGGGAGGCCAAAGUCCUGUACUGCCUGUGUCCCUUCAAUCCCAGAUUUUAGAGUCAACUAUUAAACAUCUGUACUUCAGCAAA